rnacentral:snRNA from 1 species
CUCCGCCUCGCCGUAGCACA